CUAUAGAACCGGUAUGAACCGGGGGCAAACCACCACUGUACUGUAGGCAGACUCACUGGGAGAUAGAGGUAAUUUAUCAAUUUCUCCAGGCUGAGUAGAAAUUCAUCAAGACUUAAUAUUAAGUAAAACACAUCUCCUGUUUUAUCCUUGGUCUAAAACCAUGAAAGAAAAAUCCAUCACAUCUCCACCUCCUGUUUAAAAACAACUCACUCUUAUCAGCAACUAUGGUGACUACGGGGAUUAAAAAGAAAAAGAAAAAUUUUUUGGAAAGCGAUGAAUUCAGUGUGAUGGACAUGAUUUUACUGUAGAGGAAACAUCUCAGCACAUUGUUCAAGGGUAAGCUAUAAGGCUUAACCAAUUAUUAUUUGUGAGAUGCCUUGAGAUCCUCAGAGGCCGGGGAUGAGCUAAAUAUUAUCAAAGCUGUCACUCUUACUAUAAAUACUUAUUUUAA